CUAACAUUAUGGUGUUAACAUAUUUCAGGUUCCUAUAACAAUGGUAGUAAUAGAACACUUGAGUCUUACUGGGAUGGAAACUGCCCGAAUGGCACUGUGGAGUGUACUACAGAAGACCCAAAGCACAGUGUUUGUGUCUGCACGUGGUGAAAUUAGGAGAGUUUGGAUGUUCACAACGUCAUGCAUUUUAAGUGCUGAUGGAAGUAGAUGGAGAGAAAAUAAAGGAUUGUCAAAAUG